GGGGCUGUAGCUCAGCAGCAGAGCAUGUGCCUAGCAUGCAUGAGGCCCUGGGUUCAAUCCUCAGCACCA
rnacentral:tRNA from 1 species